rnacentral:misc_RNA from 1 species
GAUGAAGAACGUAGCGAAAUGCGAUAACUAAUGUGAAUUGCGGAAUUCAGUGAAUCAUCGAGUCUUUGAACGCACAUUGCGCCCCCUGGUAUUCCGGGGGGCAUGCCUGUCCGAGCGUCAUUGCUGCCCUCAAGCACGGCUUGUGUGUUGGGCUCCGUCCCCCCGGGGACGGGCCCGAAAGGCAGCGGCGGCACCGAGUCCGGUCCUCGAGCGUAUGGGGCUUUGUCACCCGCUCUGUAGGCCCGGCCGGCGCCAGCCGACAACCCAUCAUCCUUUUCAGGUUGACCUCGGAUCAGGUAGGGAUACCCGCUGAACUUAAGCAUAUCAAUAAGCGGAGGA